UACUCCUACGGGAGGCAGCAGUGAGGAAUAUUGGACAAUGGAGGCAACUCUGAUCCAGCCAUGCCGCGUGCAGGAAGACUGCCCUAUGGGUUGUAAACUGCUUUUAUACAGGAAGAAUAAGCCUUACGUGUAAGGUGAUGACGGUACUGUAAGAAUAAGGACCGGCUAACUCCGUGCCAGCAGCCGCGGUAA
rnacentral:rRNA from 1 species